rnacentral:rRNA from 1 species
UUAAUCCGGGAGGAAUACCUGGAAGAUAAUACCUUCUCAGACUGACUUUACCGAUAGAAAAAGCACCGGCUAACUCCGUGCCAGCAGCCGCGGUAAUACGGAGGGUGCAAGCGUUAAUCGGAAUUACUGGGCGUAAAGCGUGCGUAGGUGGCCUGUUAAGUCAGAUGUGAAAGCCCUGGGCUUAACCUGGGAACGGCAUUUGAAACUGGCAAGCUAGAGUUGAGUAGAGGGGGGCGGAAUUUCCGGUGUAGCGGUGAAAUGCGUAGAUAUCGGAAGGAACACCCGUGGCGAAGGCGGCUCCCUGGACUCAAACUGACGCUGAGGUACGAAAGCGUGGGUAGCAAACAGGAUUAGAUACCCUGGUAGUCCACGCUGUAAACGAUGUCAACUAGCCGUUGGUCCUUCAAGGAGGAUUAGUGGCGCAGCUAACGCAUUAAGUUGACCGCCUGGGGAGUACGGCCGCAAGGUUACAACUCAAAUGAAUUGACGGGGGCCCGCACAAGCGGUGGAGCA